AUUGAGAACUCUUUGGACAAUUGC
rnacentral:siRNA from 1 species